UACGAAGGUGGCAAGCGUCGUUCGGAUUCACUGGGCAUAAAGGGCGCGUAGGCGGUUCCGAAAGUGAUCUGUGAAAGCCCCCGGCUCAACCGGGGAAGUGCAGGUCAAACUUCGGUACUCGAGGCUGGGAGGGGAGACUGGAACUCUCGGUGGAGCGGUGAAAUGCGUAGAUAUCGAGAGGAACACCGGUGGCGAAGGCGAGUCUCUGGGCUGACACUGACGCUCAUGCACGAAAGCGUGGGGAGCAAACAGG
rnacentral:rRNA from 1 species